GACAGAGGGUGCAAACGUUGUUCGGAAUUACUGGGCGUAAAGCGCGUGUAGGCGGCUCUGCAAGUCAGGUGUGAAAUCCCACGGCUCAACCAUGGAAGUGCACUUGAAACUGCAGGGCUAGAGUCCUGGAGAGGAAGGUGGGAUGCUUGGUGUAGAGGUGAAAUUCGUAGAUAUCAAGCGGAACACCGGUGGCGAAGGCGGCCUUCUGGACAGUGACUGACGCUGAGACGCGAAAGCGUGGGGAGCAAACAGG
rnacentral:rRNA from 1 species